rnacentral:lncRNA from 1 species
AAAGGAGGAAAGAGAGAAGAAAAGGAAAGAAGGAAAGAGAAGAGGAAAGGGAAAGGAGGAAAGAAAAGAGGAAAGAGAGUCAGGCAGAGAAGAGGAAGAGAAGGAAGAAAUAGGGUGAGUGAGCAGAGAGAAAAUUCAGUGAGCCUUACAUAUUGUAAACUCUAAAGUUGUAGCCCUAUUAUUUUACAUAGUGGAAAAGUUACUACUGCUGUUCUCCGGGGACGUAGGCAUAGCCGAACCUCGUUAAAUACUGUGUCUUAUCUACUUUACGUGCAGCUCAAUAUUCGCACAUAUUCCAGGUUAUUUUAUAACACGUUAUCAGCACGAGAAGCUCUCAGGUAUAAUUUUUGUGCUGCACUAUUAUUUGUACUACUAACCAUUAUGUUGAUGUAAAGAAGAAAAGACAACGCAUCUAGCUUUCCACUAAUAUAUAUAUUAUAUAUAUGAAAAGUUGAUGGUAAUAUAAUAUACUAUAUUUAUCUGCUUUUCUAUUACUAACCAUUAACAAAAAUGGACCCUUGGUAAUACUAAACAUAUUAUCAGUGGGAGACCGUUACUAAUACUAACACUUUCCUUAUCUUGUUCAGUGGUGGUUUUUAUUCCCACAUUUAUUUUAUUUACUGUAUGGUGUAGGUUUAUUACCCAUACAACAGUAUUUAUUUAAAAGGGUGGUGCGGGUUUAUCGCCCACGCCUUUGCUUUUAUUUAAAUGUAUGGAGCAGAAUUAGUGCCCAUACAAGCACGUUUACUUUAUCGCAAAUUUACUUUUACUUAAAGUAUUAUUUAUGGUAUGGUGUAGGUUUAUUACCCAUACGGCAAUAUUUAUUUAAAAGGGUGGUGCGGGUUUAUCGCCCACGCCUUUGCUUUUAUUUAAAUGUAUGGAGCAGAAUUAGUGCCCAUACAAGCACGUUUACUUUACCGCACAUUUAAUUUUAUUUAAGGUAUGGUGCUGGAUUAACGUCCAUACAGCAAGCUAUUUAAUUUAUUUAAGGUAUGGUGCGGGAUUAACGUCCAUACAUCAAGCAAUUUAAUUUAUGAAUUUAAUUUACUGCACAUUUACAUUUAUUUAAAAGGGUGGUGCGGGUUUAUCGUCCACGCCUUUACUUUUAUUUAAAUGUAUGGUGCGGGUUUAUCGUCCAUACCAGUAAUUUAUUUACCAGCAAUUUAUUUUAUGGAUUAAUUGUGCUGUAUGAUGAGUUUUUUUACAGUAUGCAGAUCAGGACUAGAAGUUCCUUGAUCCUCAUCAUACAAUUACAUCAGGACUUGAAGAUCCUUGAUGAUGAUAUUAAUAUGAGAGCUGGCAGUCUCUUCGGUACUGUAUUUGUAAACAUGUAAUCGGACUUAAGGGUCCUUGAUCCCUGACAUGUAAAUAAGGACCUAGAGUUCAUUAAUGAUGUAACAGUACCGUAUUGGUUCAUAGUGCCGUACACAUUGAUGAUAACUGUACUGGCAGAUGAAUAGAUACGUAUUCAUGACUUGAUGAAUAGUACUAUUCACAUGAAUAGUGACGUAUGUAUAAAUAUGAACCAUUUUGGGUAAACCGUCAUUAUAUACAAAAGGGAACCUGCAGUUUCAUAGUGCCGUACACAUUGAUGAUAACUGUACUGGCAGAUGAAUAGAUACGUAUUCAUGACUUGAUGAAUAGUACUAUUCACAUGAAUAGUGACGUAUGCAUAAAUAUGAACCAUUUUGGGUAAACCGUCACUAUAUACAAAAGGGAACCUGCAGUUCCUUAAACUCAUGGAUGAACAAUUAAAUGAGAUGCCAGAAGUUCCUCAAAAUAUGGACAAUUAUGUAAGGGCUUGAAGUCCCGAAAUAUGUACAGAAAAUUAUAAAAAUGUCCAUACCAUGAGAAUAUGUGGCUUUGGCCUGAAGUUCAAAAUUUAACAGUGUUGAGAACCUGAAGUUCCAACAAUUAAAUGGACAACCCUUGAGGUAUUAUUGCAAAUUGUGGUAUGCCACAUAUUUCUUUGGCAUAAGAAGAUGAUGAAUUUAAUAAAGUUCGAUUUUGUUAUAAUCGACACCUCAAGGAAGAAAUAUAUUUUGUGAAUUUCGGUUGUUAAGAAUACACCGCGAAAUGGAUAAUAUCAAUAUAAACCUCAAAUAAUGAAUUGAGGCUCCCCACAUAUUUUGUUAUAUCUGGGCCGGAAGCCCAUGGAUCCAAAUAUAUGAGAGAUCCUAAACUUGAAGUUGUGGGUAUAUAGUAGUUAAUGCUCUUCACUACUAUAUUGCGAUAUUAUCAUGGCUUUUACUCAAUUCACAUUUCAUAUCCAUUUGAAAAGGGCAAAUAAAUUCUGAGUUUGUGCCCAGGCCAAAAGUUCCGGGCUACCAUGCAAUUUGGGAGAGACAAUGUGGUUAUUUGAACCUAUAAGGCACAAGGUUCCAAACCGUCAUUUUGAAAAGACGUAAAAACCACAGGUGCAAGUUUAAGAAUGUGCGCAAUUAUUAUUACAGGAACAUACAACAGAUAGAUUUUUUCCACCUGCAAUUAAGGUGCAGGCCCUGUAAAAUCUAUAAAAUUACAUUAUGUUCUGGAAGCCUCUGAAGGAAGAGUACGGCGCCUCUUAAGCUUGGCCAUGAGCUUCUCGUGGUCUCCCAAAAUUCUUUCAUUGGAGACCUGCAGCAUGUCUAGCCUUCUCAGUGUAUCAACGGAGUACGAACUCACCAGUUUCAACAAGGAAUUAUUCUCUCCUUUAAGUUUCUCAACCUCCUGUUGAGACACAUGAAGCAUUCUUUGAAGAGACGAAUUUUCAGUUGUCAGCUUCUCAACCUCGUUUGCUCUAGCACGCAAACGAUCAGCCAUGUUAGAAACAGAAGCAGCACUCUGAAUGCUAAAAGCCAUUGAGUCAUCAAUAGCCUCUUCCUCAGACCUCCCUGUUAACAGCAUUUCAUCCAUUGGAGUAAUGAAAUUCCGAGCUACUAUGACAGCAGUAGCAUCAUUCAUCAUCACAGAAUCAUUAACUGUGAGAUGACGAUUUUGGGAUACAAAGGAUGGACGCCAAACUUGGGCAUCAUUGGUAGUUGUGGGAGCAUCAUUUAAAUUGAAAUAAUUUGGGCAGGAAGAAGAGGAAGCCAUUUUUGAGAAGGUUUCGAAAAAAGUCUUAGGAAAACUAAAGUUUCAGAAAAUGAAGAAAUUUGAGUUGAAACGCAGUUGCUCCAAUCAAGUUUUGCAAAGGCCAUAUCUAUAGGAGGAAAUAUGGCUACUGUUUUUCAGGACCCCAAUAUCUUCUCGAAUCCCCAUAUUAUCUUUUUCUUUCCCAGAGUCCAAAACUUCACGUGGCCUCUAAUAAUGCCUGUCGGCACUUUCGGCGUUUUCAAGUAUUAUUUUCAAAGCUGAUCUUGCUUUGCGGAUUUCACGGAGCUACUUUUUCAAAAGUAUCCCGAGAAUCUCGCAAUUUUCCUAUGGUUAAUUUGAAAUUCACCGGUUCUAUCUAUUCAUUGUAUUUGUGUAUAAAUGUGUUACUAACGAAAUUUUCUUUGCAGAAGACAUCCAGUUUUCUCCAUGCCUAGUGAUGCGAUAUCUACUUAUUUUUCUUAUCAGUGAGCAUUCAAUAUGCCCGAGAAGCAAGACUAUCUCUGAUCAUCCAUUCAGGAAGCGAGACUAUCCCUGAUCACGUUUCCGCCACAUCCGGGAACUGUGAAGGCGACCUUAUGCUCUAAUCUCCUGAGGUCCUUCUAGACUAGGAGAACUGAGAGCUUGUUCUUUGCUCCCACCAGCUUCCUUCCUUGAUUGCUUACCUUACCUUGCAAUCAAUAUCACAAUCUUUUUGCAUUUUUUCUCUUUUUAUAACUCUCUGUUCAUAAGAGAUUUUAUUUCUUUAGAAUGAACAUCUGAAGAAUGAAUCCAUGCAGUGAUCCUAACUCUGAGAGUUAUUUGUUUUUGACAGAGAAGAGAAUUGUGAUUUUUGCUCUUGCAGGAUAUAACAAGAUCAUCAAGCGAUACUUUAUAUUUACUGGGCCGAUACGAGCUUGAAUGAUACUUGAGAAAAGUUUCUCCCACCUAAGGAUGUAAGCAAUACUUGUGUUAUUUUAUGCUUAUAUACCUAUUUGAUAUUUUAUCUUGAAAGGUAACCAAAUUGGGAGAUAAGUCCGUUCCAAAAGAAUGGCUUGUAUGUAUCCAUGAAUUAUUAACGCAAAUUUUACAGAUUGCAAGUUGGAUACAUUGAUAAUACACUGCACAUAUUAAAGUCCCAUAAGAACAGAAUAUGGGUAUAGCAGUGAUCAAUAUGAUGCACGCCUGUUGCGUAGCAAAUGAUAUGGAUUGAAGUCCCGAAAGGACAAUCCUUUGACAUGUCAAUAUUGAUAUUAUGCACGCCUAAUGCCUAGCAAAUUAUAUGGGUUAAAGUCCCAUAAUACGGGUUAAAGUCCCAGAAAUUAAUUGACAUGUAUGUAUUAAUCUGUGGCAUGCCUGCAGCAUGACAGAUAUAUGGGUGCACGCCUGUUGCGUAGCAAAUGAUAUGGAUUGAAGUCCCGAAAGGACAAUCCUUUGACAUGUCAAUAUUGAUAUUAUGCACGCCUAAUGCCUAGCAAAUUAUAUGGGUUAAAGUCCCAUAAUAUGGGUUAAAGUCCCAUAAAUUAAUUGACAUGUAUGUAUUAAUCUGUGGCAUGCCUGCAGCAUGACAGAUAUAUGAGUUCUAAAUGUUCCAACUCCCUAAAUGGAGAUUAUCCACGCCCUACUAUAAAAUAACGCUCCAUUGGAGGUUAUAAUCCACAUUCUCACAUAAUAAAAGCCCUCUGAAGUGGCUUGGGUACCCAAAAGCAAAGAAAUGCUUAUAAUUGAUGCAUGCACGUGCAAAUGAGAAUGGUGGGAUCAUGAAUUGAUGAAUGACAAUUUUUGAUCAUGAAUUGAUGAAUGACAAUUUUUGGUUUUGGAGUAGCUACUCAAAUCAUCAAUGAGCUGUGUUGAUUGGAACCACGUUCAAUUAUUAAAUGUCGACAAUAUCAUUGGCCAAAAUGGAACGAGGUAAUUCCAUUAUAAAUGAGAAUGAACGUGAAAGAACAAACCCACAGUACGAACCCCAAAUUUGUUAAUACUGAAAGUUAUACUUGGGUGUUCGGAAUAAAAGGGAAUAUACCUACUUUGUAUGACACAAUGUUUCUGGCAGAAACAAGGAAUGUUGGGUUUUCUCCAUAUUUACAGAUUCAAUUGUGCCCCCCUUAUUACACAAUAACGGAGACCAACAUAUUAUCUUUAAGGGUUAUUAAAUGCGCAGAGCAUAUCGCCUGAAGUGAUUCCCUAAAGAUGUAUAAAUAGCUGGGUUAAAGCUAUAUAAUGUGUCAUAAAGUUUAAUCCCUUUUAAACAAAAUCCGUUGAGCAGAUUGACAUUGCAUAAAGCAAGUCCCUAAAGGACAUGUGCUUAAAGCACAAAAUUUGUACUCAAUAUUAAUAUGCAUAAAUUACCUCAGUGAGUACAUUGAUGUGAUUGCAACACAUUAAAGAUUCUGCAGAAUUCAAGAAAUAUUUAUCUCGACUUAAAAAUUGAGCAUUAUGCCAACGAGAUUCUUGCUUAUACUAAGAAAGUAUUGAAGCAUUUUUAUGAGGAUUAUCCGUUGGGCACUUUAAGGAUUUUCCGGAAGUAUAUUGGACCGGACAUCAUAUUUUCCAGAUAAGGCUCAACUCCAUCACCAUCAUUUUGGGAUGAUGUGAGGUAUAUUUGAUGCUAUCUCCGCAUAACACCAUGUAUGGGCAUAUUCUUUCAUAUGAUCUUACAAAUAGCCCAGGUUUUGUUGGAAACGCGGACUCUGAAAAUUUUUAUGAUUUCCAUAGAGAUAGCUUACUGGAAAUAUAUUUACUAUAUGAAUUGUUGGUGGCUACAUCAUUCACUCACUCAGAAAGAUUCUCAAUCCAAAAGAUAGUCAUGAAGACAUCAGGGGGAGAUAUUAAUCAGGGGGAGCAUCCAGAAGUAUGCUAUACAGAUUGUUGUACUCUUCUUUCCAUCAGUUCUCUACCUUACUAGGUUUUCUCCAAGCAAGUCUUUAAUGAUACAACCGACAUAUCAUUAGUGGUCUCCAAGGAGGAGUGUUGUAAAAGAAUAAACAUGUGGAGCCCACUAACUAUUCAUUACUAUUCAUUUGGAGACUUUUGGUAGAGUUUAUCUGUCACGGGUGAAUAGUGAAUAGUGAUGAAUAGUGAUUAUUUCAGCCUAUAAAUAAGAAGAGAAACGGAAAGAGAAGAGAAGAAAAAGAAAAGGAAAGAAGGAAAGAAAAAAGAAAAGGAAAGAGAGAAGAAAAGGAAAGGAGGAAAGAGAGAAGAAAAGGAAAGAAGGAAAGAGAAGAGGAAAGGGAAAGGAGGAAAGAAAAGAGGAAAGAGAGUCAGGCAGAGAAGAGGAAGAGAAGGAAGAAAUAGGGUGCGUGAGCAGAGAGAAAAUUCAGUGAGCCUUACAUAUUGUAAACUCUAAAGUUGUAGCCCUAUUAUUUUACAUAGUGGAAAAGUUACUACUGCUGUUCUCCGGGGACGUAGGCAUAGCCGAACCUCGUUAAAUACUGUGUCUCAUCUACUUUACGUGCAACUCAAUAUUCGCACAUAU